ACUACAGCCUCAGUGCAUGGCGGUGGGCGCUUCCAGUAACUCAGGGGUGGGACUUUUUUCUUGCUCAGGGGAUGAGGCCGAGCCCACAGGCUUAGAAAGAAGGAACUUGAGUCCGGGCACCUGUCAUCCCAGCGCUUAGGGAGGCCGAGGCGGGUGGAUCACCUGAGGUCAGGAGUUCGAGACCAGCCUGGCCAAUAUGGCGAAACCCCCGUCUCUACUAAAAAUACAAAAAUUAGCCGAGCAUGGUGGCAUGCACUUCCAGCUACUUGGAAGGCUGAGGCGGGAGAAUGGCUUGAACCUGGGAGGCGAGGGUUGCAGUGAGCUGAGAUCGCACCACUGCACUCCAGCCUGGGUGACAGAGCGAGACUUCGUCUCAAAAAAAAAGAAGAAGAAAGAAGGAAGCUGAGGUUCAGACAGGCUAAGUCCCUACUGCAGGCUGCGGAAUCUAAAAAGGUCAUGAACUCUGAGAGUUUGAGAUGAGCCUCUAAAAGCUGUAUCAAUAGCACCUUGCACUGUUGAAGCAGGUAAGUGUUUUCCUUGUUACUUCUUAAGUUCAGUUGGAAACCCAACAUAGCAAAUCCUCUAGAAUGCAGCUGAAGCAGUACUAAGGCUGGGUGUGGUGGCUCAUGCCUAUAAUCCUGUAGGGAGGCAAAAGCGGGAGGAUUGCUGGAGCCCAGGAGUUCAAGACCAGCCUGGGCAACACGGCAAGACCUGGUUCUCCACAAAAAGGAAAAAAAAAUGCUAAGAGGCAAGUAUAUAGCAAUAAACUCCUACAUCAAAAAAGUAGAAACAUUUCAAAUAAGAGA
rnacentral:lncRNA from 1 species